CUCCCAAAGUGCUGGGAUUACAGGCGUGAGCCACCGCGCCCAGCCAGGAUUUUUUUUUCAAAGUGCAGUAGCAGGAAGGCUUAUUUUGAAUGACCAGGGUUUAGAUGUAUAUGUGCGUGUGUGUAAUUUUUGGUGGAUAUAGUGAAUGAUGCAACCAUUUAUGUUUCUCUCUUUGCAGUGGCUUUUAGGGAACUCACUGGUAAAUUUUGUGGCCUGCUUAUAUUAAAGGAUGUAAACAUUGUAUGUCCUUUCUUUUGAGUGACAGUCAUACCACUGAUUAUACUUUUUUUUGGACACAUUUUAUUCAGAUAGCAGUUUGAUCACACAUGAUCCAAGAACACUCAAAUAGUAAAUAAAAUAUAAUCAGAUGUUAAAGACUUGUUGUCAAACGUUAUAGGCAAUGAGGCAAUGCUUACUUAUGAUUGCUCCAAUAUAAAACCACAUUUACACCUCAGUGGCCACUGAACCAUUCAGCACAGCUUCCUUAACUGUCAGCUGUUAGAAGCUAGCAGUGUGAGCACUGUUGACUAUUUUUUUUCAGGCUCUGAAUAGCUGUCAGGAUCUCAGUAGGAGUUGGAGGAGUUAGCUCAACUUUGGCUUAGUAUCUAAAUGCGGCCAAUGUAGGCUUCAAAUAAGUCACAGCAGUGUUCACUAGUGUUGGAGCCUCCUCCUCCAGGUUUCAGACAAAUCGGACUAUGAUUUUAGGAUGAAAAAUCCAUGGCCCCAAAUGGCUAGCUAAUUAUACUUUUAAAAUUCCUCUUAUCUUUAUUGCUACCUUCAUCUCUUUCCUAUUUCCAUUUCUUUACUGUUUUACUUUCUGUACUUUCUGUACUUUGUAAGUCAUCUCAGAAUUUUUUGAAUUUAAAAUUUUUUUAAAUUUUUCAUAUGGCAUGAAAAAAUUACUUGUAGACAUCUAUAACAUAAUGGAUCUCUUAUUGGUAAUUUUUUUGGGAACUGACUUGGUACUAAUUGGUACUAACUUUGAUUUCUCUCACUGGAUUCCUAGACUCUCCAGGAUGUUAGGACAGGCUGUGGCCUGUGGAACACCUCGUCUUGUACAUUCUGUUUUCUGAAUAAAGGGUCUUCUUUGUUUUCCCUGCAACGAGUGGUCUUUUGUUCCUCAUUUCUGUGGUCCAUUACCCAUUCUCCCAACCCAAUGGCAUGUCAAAACUAUUUAAAAUUUUAAAAAACUAUUAAUAUAAUUGCCUUUUAAUAAAACUAUUUAUAAUAAUAAUUAUAAUUGCUUAUUUAAAAACUAUUAAUAUAAUUGCUUAUUAAUAAAACUAUUAAUAUUACUCUGAUUUAAUAAACUGAGGUAAACUAUAUAAUAAAAGUUAUUGUCCUCUUUUUCAUAUUAUGUUUUGUAAUUUGAAGAAUCAUUUAAAGCUUUAGAUUUAUUCUAGAAAAGUCUAUAAUUGAAUCAUACCAUGAUAAGCUAAAUCUGAAAAUGUAAGAAAGUUUCUAUGGGAUAGAUGUAUGAUGAUUUUAGGCUUUUCUUCAAGUCUGGAUUUUGUUUCCACUGCUAUUUUAAUGAGUUAGGAAAUAUGAGAUAUUUAAAUAUGAUGAGGUGAAGUUCAUUGAACACUUUAAUGUUGGUUAUAUUAUUUAUAUCCUCUAUAUAGUUUAAAAAACAACUAGCAUAUUUUAUAGAUAUAUUUGCAAGACUGAUUUUAAAAUAAUAUGUUUUCAUUGUUUUGUUAACAAAUCAAACUUUUCAAGCUAUUUCUGACUGUUAAACCUUUCUGGAAAGUUGUUCCAUAUCCUUCCGGUCAUCUAAAUUUAUCACAAGGUUUUAACUAAGAAGGUUGGUGAACCCUCUUUCCUUUUGAUCUUGCAUCCUGGCGAGUGCUUGAAUAUUUCUUGUGUAAGAAAAGUUUUGGUAGAUGAGUCAGUGCACUGAGUCAUAGGCAGCAUGAAGCCUCUAGUGUUCUAUACUAACUAAUUGGAAACAGUUUCAAAAUUAAUUAAGGCACAGUUGUCAGCUCAGUGUUACUGAUUGACAUCCCACCAAAGUAUUUUGUCUUUUGGCAACUUGGUUAAUUGUUCUUUGGUAUUUAGAUUUUUGUUUUGCUUUAUAGAUUUUUAAAAAUCUGUUGAAUAGACCUAUAGUUACCAUGUUGAUUUUUAUUUUUUAGAAUCCUGUUAUGAACCCUGUGUCAUUGUGAUUAAUUUCUUCCUUACUUGAUGCCUUUUUUUCUCUUAAAAAUAUUCAAUACAAUAUCUUUUCUUUUUAUCUUGCUAAUUUAUCAGUCUAUGAGAAAGUCUGUUAUGCUCCACACAAACCAGUUCAUAAGUAAAAGCAUAUUGAUUUGUUCAAUAAUAGCCCAGUAUCCAAUUAAACAUUAUGUUUUACUUAAUAAAAAACAAAUUAAGUGGCUUGCUUACAUUCCUUUACAUUGCAUUAAUUUGACCUUAAUAAAUUCAUUAAAAAUGAUGUUUUUAAAAGUCUCUUCCUUUAUUAGGUUCAUAUUUAUUUAAAAUAAAGUAUUCGAAAGAAAGUAUUUCAUUUAUAUAAAGAAUUUUGCAAGGAGGGAUUGAUUAGGUGUUCUUCAUGUUUAUGGAAGAAUAAACAAAAGGAAAUCAAGACCAGGAAGGUAUUUUGGCUGAAGAGAGCAAGUAUGUGCUGGCACAAUGAUAAAAUGCUAGAAUGGAUUACUGAAUAAAAUAAGAAAAGAAGAGAACUCACAUAUUAAAGACCUGAUAGGUCUCAGGCACUUUACAUAUAUUAUUUCUCUAAAUCCUCCCAGCAUCUAUGAGAUGGAAAUUAUUUACCUAUAAUCAAAUGUGGAUCUUGAAGCCUUAACAAUAUCUGUAUAAUAAACACCUAAGGCAAUCUACAACAGCAUUUUAGUGUGCUGUCUAGUGCCAGAUUCAGGCAUUAUGCUAAAGGAAAAUUCAGGAAAAGCAUUUGAUCUAGUUACAAAGUAGACAAUCUUUAGGGCAAUAAGUGGAUUACACAUCCUUCAGUCAUUCCUCUGAAACAUUUCUUUUAAAGUUAUUGAUUGAAAUUGAGACACAUUUUAUAAUUGAUGACAUGCUAUAAUUUAAUUGGCAGUAUCUUUUCUUCAUGAUAUGUAAAAUUAAUGCUGCAUCGCAUAAUCAGUAUCAUCUUAGAUUUGAUAGAGUACAGUAGAUGGUCGGUCUUUGAUGGAAUACCAUAUAUGAUCUUUAUCACUCAUUAGAAAACUUUAAGAACAAUGGUAACCUAUUGGUUUUUUGUUCAUUAUCCCUGAGUUCUGAUGAGAUGAUCUUUGAAAAAUUCUGUGGUCAAAUGUGUUUUAAAAAUACAGCAUAAUCUAUUCUUCUCCUGGAGAUUUUCAGUGCAAAAUAACAUAUAAGAAUUCUAGUAAAACAAACGAACAAACAAACAAACAAAAAAACAACAUUUUUACCUUUGUUUAACCCAUUGUACAAACUUAUUUGAUCAUAUAUUUCCUCCACCCUGACAAACUCUUUUUUACUUACCUAGUUUUCAAAGGACAUUAUGCAUGUGCCUGAGGAGUUUAAUGCUUUAUCUAACUUUGGGAAAUGCUGGGUUACUUGGUCUUUUACCUAAAAUUGAGUAUUACCAGUUAGAGUCUAAAUCUUUCUGAGGGUCCACACAGUUUUCUCUCCAGUCUUCUUAUCCAACCUCAUUUUAUUUAUGUAUAUUUUGCUCAUAGGUUGGCCAGACCCGCAUUACCAAUUUCUUAUUUUUUGUUUCAACUUUUACUUCUUGAGUCAUAUCUUGGUAUAUAGUUUUUCAUUUACUAAUAAAUUGUGAUAUUUGAAAUUUAUUAACUGGAUGUUUAGAGUUUCAUUAAAGAUUCUAAAUAGAGAAUUAAUGGUCAUGUAUAAAUUGGAAAGGAAAAAAAAUCAAUUUUUCUGACAUUUUAUGAUACCUAAAAGUCAGUAGGUUAUGGUAGCCUUAUUUCCACGUUACGCUGAUUGCUUCACAGGUACAACAUUUUUCUUCUACAAAGAUUCUCUGAAGAGUGAAUCUCCCUUUCCUGCUAUUUUUCUUGUUUCUUUCUUCACUCCCUGGCCGUCACAUCUUCCUUCCCCACUUCCCUCUACCUUCUCUCAAAAAUCUGGACUCAACUUAUUUACUGAUUCGAUGUUCUUUCAGCAUUAUUUAAUUCUUUAAUAUUGGGUCAUGCUUAUUUCCAAUUAUAUUUUCCAUUUUUAUAAUUUUGCUUCUCUAGCCCUACUUUUAGCACUUGACAAGCGAACUUGUCUAAGUCUUUGGCUUUUUAUACCUAAGCUAAAUGAGCUACUAUUUACCAAUCUCCCUGAUUGUCACAGUAGUUUAUCACAUUUAAGUCACCAAGGGAUUGAGAUAAGCUGAUUUUAUUUCAACUUUUUCAAAAUUCUUCCUUACCUAUGGUAUUCGUAGUCAUGGUCUAUGCUUGUGGUGGUCAGUCCUGUCAAGUAGUAUUCUUAAGUUUGUUUUGUUCCUAUCACUGUGCUAACCAUCUUAGACUUUAUAUAUUCUGUGUUUUUAAACACUCUGAUCUCAGUGAGGAAAAAUCCAUUAAUUUGUAACUUAUUGCAUUCAUAGCAUAAUAAUACUGCAUUAAAAGGAUGGGAAAUGAGAAUAGAAAUGUGGAUUGGUACCACAUUGUGUAGCAGUUUGACUGCCAGACUAAGACACUGCUAGGCUAAGGCAGCUUUUCAGAAAGGGAAUAAUACACUUUAUUUUUCUUGUUCUGCCAUGUAGUUAGCCUAAACACUUGAAUUAUUUCAAGUAGGAGCUUGGUACUUUAUCAUCACGUCUUCUGGACUUCAAUUAAUUUUUUUUUUUUUUUUUUUUUUAACCAUUUCUACUUUGAAGAACCUAUGUAAUAGGAUUUUUCUGAUAGUUAGAUUAGAAGUUGUUCAUAAAGUGUUUAACAAACAGUACUUGGUACAGACAGAGAUGAUAAUAUAAUGACAAAAAUAUUGGAUUAUGGAUGUAGCUGAAGUGUAUGUGUGUUUGUGUGGCAGGGGUGAGUGGUGGGUGUUGAACUACCAAAUCUGCUCUCAUCUAGCCAAACUGCCAUGUAUCAGAUGUACUACACCAGGGCCAUUCUUGCAGUUUACAUUUUUUAGACUGGAAAUCAAGAGACCUGGGUUCUUACACCAACUCUCUGUUACUUUGCAGAUUACCUUUCCUUCUAGGCCAUGGUGCCUUCAUAGAUAAAAUAAUGAAUUUGGAUUAGGUAAUUAUUAGAUUUAAAAUAUAUGAUUCUUUAGGGAUAGGCAACGAGUGGCUGAAGAUCCAUUAAGGAGAACAUGUAAGUAGGAUCAUCUCUUUUAUCUCAUUGCACUGUUUCUGAUGGAUUACCCAAAACCAAACUGGCAUAUGACUUCGGAAUUCAUUUGCUUCCCAUAGAAAAAUUAUUUUCAAUACAAAAAGGCCUAUGUAGAAAAGCACUAUAACAAAACAGUACUUAAAUUUUAUUUAAAAUAUAUUUGCAUUUCUCAAAUUGAGAGUCAAUAAAGAAAAUUCCAAGGCAAGAAAGCAUCUUUGAGAUGCUUUGCAAUUAGAAACACUCAAGGAGACAACUGAAGAAUUUAGAAAAAUAAAUUGAAUAAUAUUUGAUAAAUUUAGACUCUCAGCAAACCCAGGACCCAAUGUAGCUUCUUUGAAUUUCGAAUAUAGAAACUAUAGGCCUGCCAUUACUCAGGGUACAUCUCUUGGGCAGGCAGUCCUAAACUCCUGGUCAGAUUAGGUUUGAAAUGUUUAAUCAGUUCUUAUCCACUGCGCCCCAGCCCUCCAAUCUCCUGCAAUGCUGUUUUGUGUCUUAUUGUCAACAGAGUGGGGCUAGAAGAUUUCCAAGAUAACUUUCAAUUUAUUAGUUAUACUGCAUUAGUAUAGUAUUGAUAUUUUUUCGUUUGGCUUUUGUGUUUCAUUGGUUCUUUUGUUUUCUCUUUUCUGUUGCGUAUUUUCUAUAUUCUUUCUUCUUGUUACUGUCUACUUAGGCCAUGAAAUUGAGAUGGAUUUGUGUGAGAGAUAUUGAGGGAACAAAGGAAUUGGACUGAUGAAGCUUUGCUAACACCUCUUCCUCAAACACACAAGCUAACUUUAUUAUUUUGAAUAUGGAGAGGGAGGAAACGAGAAGACAAAAGGAGAAAAGGAUCAGGAUUGAAAAUACAAGGAAACGAGAAUUAAGAAAGCAGGUUAAAGGUUUCUGGAGUGCUCUGUUUGAAAUAAUGGCCUGUGGACCCUCUUAGCAGAGAUGAGAGACAGAGGGUAGGGAGACCAUAUUGCAUAUAGGAUCUGCAGGUUUGUGUGAAGGCCAAGGAGGAAAGGGCAAUGCAGGGAAGAGGACAAGAGGUUAGGUCUUGGAUAAAGACUGUGUGAGUUCAAAUUCUGGCUUUUUUGUGUGCCUCAAUUUCUUUAAGUAUAAUGAGGAUAAUAACUCCCAUAGGACUGUGUUAAUGAGAUUAUGUAUUUGAUAAUGAUCUUAAGACAAUGCUUCAUUCUUAGUAAGCAUUAAAUAAACGGUAGCUAGUAUUAACAGUUAUUUUUUUAAAGGGUUUUUACUAAGAACCUUUUAAGGAUUAAAUCAGGAAGCAGGCUGUCCCUGUAAGAUCACUUAUAUGCCAUUUGAGCGUAAGUACAGUAAUUAAUAGCACGAUCUUCAUUUUAUGUGGUAAAUGUGACUUAGCAGAAACUAAUACGACUGAAGUCGAAGACUGAAUAAAUGUAAAUUUAUUCUUUAAGAUUAAUAUUUUGCUUAUUACAUAUAUAUUUUGUAUGUUCCCAUGUGUGUCUAAUGUGUUGUUAUUCUUUAUACUUUAGAGUCUAAAAUAUACCCUAUGAUAGGAAAUUAGAUUUGGAAGUCACCACAUAAAAAAUCUCAUUCAUCCCUUGUCCUUUACGGAAGACAUGAUCCUGAAAGGUACCCAGUUGAGGAAGAAGUAGGAAUUGAGGACCUGAAAUCCCUAUUAAGUUGUAUACAAUUGGAGACAUUUUCUAUUUUUAAAAUGACUAUAAUGGUUAGAAAUUCAUCUUUCUAUUCAUGUCAUAAAUGUAUUUCAUUUUUGAUACUUUAACAUUAGUAGAUUUCAGUGUGUUAAGAAAGUGUAUAUUUAGUUCAGAAUUCCAUAAUUGUUCCUGAUGGUAGAUAUUCAAUACAAUAGAAUCUCUGAAGCCUUUAAAAAUGACCCUUUCAAAUAGAUAAAUAUCUUUGCCCAUAAACAUUUACUUUGUAGGUGUCAUUACUUUGUAGGUGUUUUAAGUCACUUUUGUUUUUCUUCUGAAGUGUUAAAAAUUACCAGUGGCCUUAUUCCCAGGGAGAAGGGAAAGGGAAUGAGAUAACCAAACAUGUGUACAAGGUUAAUUUUUUAGGUGAUACAAACUCCAAAAAUUAUUAUUUUUAUGAGCUUUCAAAUUUUCCGUUAGACAAAUUUGUUUCAUUUCUGUUAUAAGAUUAUGUAUAUUAACUGAAAAAUUUAUAAAUGAUAGUAUAGACAAUUAUUUUAUACUUUGGUAACUUUACCAACAAAUCCAGUAGGAGAUAAUGGCCUUGAAACACAAAUAAAGGCACAGAAAAAUAUUUUUGACAGCAAAAGAUUGCAAAAACAGACACUUUAAAUUGUUUCUGAAAGCAUGGUUGUUUAAUCUGUGAUAGAUAUAAGAUAAAUGGUAUUUAACCCUUAUUCCUGAAAUCAUAAACUCUUUAUUUUUUUAUUUGUAAAAGGUCUUAUGAUUCUUACUUGCAGGCCAUGUGAUGGCUAAUACUGAGUGUCAACUUGAGUGGAUUGAAGGAUACAAAGUAUUUAUCCUGGGAGAGAUAUUCCUUCUAAGGUGAAGGAUAAGUUGCUGUAUUUGGCCUCUCCUACAUCCAAAAAAGAGGCACAAUGCCUUGUGGGCCUAUUUGCAUUUUGGAGGCAACACAUUCCUCAUUUGGGUGUGUUACUCCAGCCCAUUUAUUGAGUGACCUGAAAGGCUGCCGUUUUGAGUGGGGUCCAGAACAACAGAAGGCUCUGCAACAGGUCCAGGCUGCUGUGCAUGCUGCUUUGUCACUUGGGCAAUAUGAUCCAGCAGAUCUAAUGGUGCUUAAGAUGUCAGUGGCAGAUAGGGGUGCUGUUUGGAGGCUUUGGCGGGUCCCCCAUAGGUGAAUCACAGAGGAGGCCUCUAGGAUUUUGGAGCAAGGCCCUGACAUCUUCUGCAGAUAACUGCU